GAGUUUGAUCCUGGCUCAGGACGAACGCUGGCGGCGUGCUUAACACAUGCAAGUCGAGCGAUGAAGCUCCUUCGGGAGUGGAUUAGCGGCGGACGGGUGAGUAACACGUGGGUAACCUGCCUCAUAGAGGGGAAUAGCCUUUCGAAAGGAAGAUUAAUACCGCAUAAGAUUGUAGUACCGCAUGGUACAGCAAUUAAAGGAGUAAUCCGCUAUGAGAUGGACCCGCGUCGCAUUAGCUAGUUGGUGAGGUAACGGCUCACCAAGGCGACGAUGCGUAGCCGACCUGAGAGGGUGAUCGGCCACAUUGGGACUGAGACACGGCCCAGACUCCUACGGGAGGCAGCAGUGGGGAAUAUUGCACAAUGGGGGAAACCCUGAUGCAGCAACGCCGCGUGAGUGAUGACGGUCUUCGGAUUGUAAAGCUCUGUCUUUAGGGACGAUAAUGACGGUACCUAAGGAGGAAGCCACGGCUAACUAC
rnacentral:rRNA from 1 species